rnacentral:lncRNA from 1 species
CCUAUUUAAAAAAAAAAAAUAAACAUAAAAACCCUAACCUAAAAUAAUAGCCGCACACCACGCACUUCUCCAUGCCUCUUCUUCAUCUCCGACGGCCGGAAGUUCCGGUGCCCCUUUCACCAACCGUAGCACACCCUCAUACAUUUACAACCCUCCUUCAUUCUAUUUGAUCAAGCCCUCACAAGACCCCAUCUCCCCUUAUCUUGUUCCCACACGCACACCCCUGCACAGUAGAGAUAGAGAGAGAGAGAGAGAGCAAAGAUAGAACCGGCGACGACCGGAGACGCCGCUCAUGUCCGCAGUGACGGCGUUUUCUCCUUCUCCGAUGGUGAUAAAGCUGUGAAGACGCUGAUUCAGCAACAGAUUUUGAGCGGGUUCGAGCUCGGUUCGGACUUGGGUUCGAAUCACGGAUGUUUCGGGUUUGUUCCGGGUCUCGGUUCAGAAAAGGAAGUAGCAGGACGUGAUUGACCUACCUUGACUGUUAACCAUUUUUAAGAGACCAACCGAGCAAACCAAAGGUAAUUAUUGAAGGAACUUGGGAGCUUGCUGUCUGAUGCUGCUGGAGUGGUUGUGGUCAUAAUAAACAGUUAUUUUGAUUUGGUUUUGAUACAUUUACACACUUAUACAUU